rnacentral:lncRNA from 1 species
UUUGGGAAGCUUUGGUAGAACAGUUCAUGCGUAAAUGCACGGACAACUCCAUUUUUCAAUCUUUCAAGAACCAUAACUCCUGAACGGUAAAAGUCAAAUUCGUCAUUAUUGAACUUGACCUCCAUUCUUUCAUUAGUACAACAUAUUAAAAUUUGGGAAGCUUUGGUAGAACAGUUCAUGCGUAAAUGCACGGACAACUCCAUUUUUCAAUCUUUCAAGAACCAUAACUCCUGAACGGUAAAAGUCAAAAUCGUCAUUAUUAAACUUGACCUCCAUUUUGUCAUCAGUAACAGCAUAUUAAAAUUUCGGAAGCUUUGGUAGAACAGUUCAUGCAUAAAUGCAAGGACACGACUGGAAACUCCAUUUUUCAAUCUUUCAAGAACCAUAACUCCUGAACGGUAAAAGUCAAAUUCGUCAUUAUUGAAAUUGACCUCCAUUCUUUCAUUAGUAACAACAUAUUAAAAUUUGGGAAGCUUUGGUAGAACAGUUCAUGCGUAAAUGCACGGACAACUCCAUUUUUCAAUCUUUCAAGAACCAUAACUCCUGAACGGUAAAAGUCAAAAUCGCCAUUAUUGAACUUGACCUUCGUAUAGUUGUCAGUAAUAACAUAUUAAAAUUUUAAAAGCUUUGGUUGAACGGUUCAUGAGUUAAUGCACGGACAACAUUUGAUUGCCGCCCGCCCGCCCG